rnacentral:rRNA from 1 species
GACGAACGCUGGCGGCGUGCUUAACACAUGCAAGUCGAACGGAAAGGCCCUGCUUUUGUGGGGUGCUCGAGUGGCGAACGGGUGAGUAACACGUGAGUAACCUGCCCUUGACUUUGGGAUAACUUCAGGAAACUGGGGCUAACACCGGAUAGGAGCUCCUGCUGCAUGGUGGGGGUUGGAAAGUUUCGGCGGUUGGGGAUGGACUCGCGGCUUAUCAGCUUGUUGGUGGGGUAGUGGCUUACCAAGGCUUUGACGGGUAGCCGGCCUGAGAGGGUGACCGGCCACAUUGGGACUGAGAUACGGCCCAGACUCCUACGGGAGGCAGCAGUGGGGAAUAUUGCACAAUGGGCGGAAGCCUGAUGCAGCAACGCCGCGUGCGGGAUGACGGCCUUCGGGUUGUAAACCGCUUUCGCCUGUGACGAAGCGUGAGUGACGGUAAUGGGUAAAGAAGCACCGGCUAACUACGUGC